GGGCGCAAGCCUGAUGCAGCAACGCCGCGUGAGGGACGACGGCCUUCGGGUUGUAAACCUCUUUUAGCAGGGAAGAAGCGAAAGUGACGGUACCUGCAGAAAAAGCACCGGCUAACUACGUGCCAGCAGCCGCGGUAAUACGUAGGGUGCAAGCGUUAUCCGGAAUUAUUGGGCGUAAAGAGCUCGUAGGCGGUUUGUCGCGUCUGCUGUGAAAACCCGAGGCUCAACCUCGGGCCUGCAGUGGGUACGGGCAGACUAGAGUGCGGUAGGGGAGAUUGGAAUUCCUGGUGUAGCGGUGGAAUGCGCAGAUAUCAGGAGGAACACCGAUGGCGAAGGCAGAUCUCUGGGCCGUAACUGACGCUGAGGAGCGAAAGGGUGGGGAGCAAACAGGCUUAGAUACCCUGGUAGUCCACCCCGUAAACGUUGGGAACUAGUUGUGGGGUCCAUUCCACGGAUUCCGUGACGCAGCUAACGCAUUAAGUUCCCCGCCUGGGGAGUACGGCCGCAAGGCUAAAACUCAAAGGAAUUGACGGGGA
rnacentral:rRNA from 1 species